AGGAUUUUGUUUCAAAGUCCUCAGCUGAUAAGGACUCAAUGAGGAUUUUGAACUAGUGUCAAACAUAAUGCAUAUGAAGAAUUGAGAAUAGACUGGGUUGAGCUUAACAUAGAGGGGAGAUGGGUCCGAUCACAGUCACUUAGAAGAAAUACCAGCUUGAAGAUUUAGCAAUAAGUGGAUCAUUAAUAUAUAUAUAUAGUCAAAUGAAGGUCAUCACAGAAAGUUUUGAAGAAUUUUAAGAUUUUGAAGACUUUUAAAUUUUUGUGGAAUUUGUGAAAAAGUCUGAGAUUGAAGAAUUUCAACUUUGGAGAAUUUCCAACUUGAAGAAUUUCAAGGUUGGGUGGUGGCGUGACCCACCGUAUAAGAAUGAUGAUUUCAG
rnacentral:lncRNA from 1 species